rnacentral:rRNA from 1 species
UACGUAGGGGGCAAGCGUUGUCCGGAAUCAUUGGGCGUAAAGCGCGUGUAGGCGGCUUGGUAAGUCCGCUCUGAAAGCCCGGGGCUCAACCCCGGGAGGCGGGUGGAUACUGUCAAGCUCGAGUCCGGAAGAGGCGAGUGGAAUUCCUGGUGUAGCGGUGAAAUGCGCAGAUAUCAGGAGGAACACCAAUGGCGAAGGCAGCUCGCUGGGACGUGACUGACGCUGAGACGCGAAAGCGUGGGGAGCAAACAGGAUAGAU